GAUGAACGCUGGCGGCGUGCUUAACACAUGCAAGUCGAACGAAGCACUUUAUUUGAUUUCCUUCGGGACUGAUUAUUUUGUGACUGAGUGGCGGACGGGUGAGUAACGCGUGGGUAACCUGCCUUGUACAGGGGGAUAACAGUUGGAAACGGCUGCUAAUACCGCAUAAGCGCACAGCAUCGCAUGAUGCAGUGUGAAAAACUCCGGUGGUAUAAGAUGGACCCGCGUUGGAUUAGCUAGUUGGUGAGGUAACGGCCCACCAAGGCGACGAUCCAUAGCCGACCUGAGAGGGUGACCGGCCACAUUGGGACUGAGACACGGCCCAAACUCCUACGGGAGGCAGCAGUGGGGAAUAUUGCACAAUGGGCGAAAGCCUGAUGCAGCGACGCCGCGUGAGCGAAGAAGUAUUUCGGUAUGUAAAGCUCUAUCAGCAGGGAAGAUAAUGACGGUCCCUGACGAAGAAGCACCGGCUAAAUACGUG
rnacentral:rRNA from 1 species